UACGUAGGGUGCAAGCGUUAUCCGGAAUUAUUGGGCGUAAAGAGCUCGUAGGCGGUUUGUCGCGUCUGCUGUGAAAACCCGAGGCUCAACCUCGGGCCUGCAGUGGGUACGGGCAGACUAGAGGUGCGGUAGGGGAGAUUGGAAUUCCUGGUGUAGCGGUGGAAUGCGCAGAUAUCAGGAGGAACACCGAUGGCGAAGGCAGAUCUCUGGGCCGUAACUGACGCUGAGGAGCGAAAGCGUGGGGAGCGAACAGG
rnacentral:rRNA from 1 species